CCGUUACUGACAAUCGCAUGGCCUAUGCGCCGGCGAUAUAGCCUUCAAGCGUCUGCCUUAUCAACUGUAGAUGGUAGGUUAUGUGCCUACCAUGGUUGUAACAGGUGACCGGGAAUCAGGGUUCGAUGACGGAGAGGGAGCCUGAGAAACGGCUACCACAUCCAAGGAAGGCAGCAGGCACGCAAAUUACCCACUCUCAGAACGUCGAGGUAGUGACGAAAAAUAACAAAACGGGACUAUUAAUAGGGCCCGUAAUUGGAAUGAGUACAAUAUAAAUCCCUUAUCCAGGAGAUAUUGUGGAGGGCAUCUCGGGUGCCCCCCCCCGCGGAUUUUCCCGCUCCAAUAGCGUAUAUUAGAGUUGCUGCGUUCAAAAAAGCUCGUAAUUGUAUCUCAGUUCAUGUCAAAAGGUCAGGCACUUAUUAGUGAUACUUUUUGACUGGACAUUAAACCGAUUUGUUUAAGGGACCCCUUACAAAUGGUUUAAAAAUCUUUUAAUCCUGCUCAUUUCCUACUGCCCCCCCCCGCGGUAUUU
rnacentral:rRNA from 1 species